UGGGGAAUCUUGGACAAUGGGCGCAAGCCUGAUGGAGCGACGUCGCGUGAUGGACGAAGUGCUUCGGCACGUAAACAUCUUUUAUGUGGGAUGAAAUUAUUGACAGUACCACAUGAAUAAGGGGCUCCUAACUCUGUGCCAGCAGGAGCGGUAAUACAGAGGCCCCAAGCGUUAUCCGGAAUCACUGGGCGUAAAGGGUGUCGAGGCGGUUGUAUUAGUCGUUCGUAAAAUCUACGAGCUUAACUUGUAGGCGGCGAACGAAACGGUACGACUUGAGGUUUGGAGAGGUGCGUGGAACUCACGGUGUAGGGGUGAAAUCCGUUGAUAUCGUGGGGAACACCAAAGGCGAAGGCAGCGCACUGGCCAAAAUCUGACGCUCACACACGAAAGCUAGGGUAGCGAAGAGGAUUAGAUACCCUGGUAGUCCCUGAGCGGGCUGGCAAGGCGCAU
rnacentral:rRNA from 1 species